GUUAUUUUGGCCCCAGUAUUGGCAAAGUUGUGGUGUACAAUGGUAUUGUUAUUGAACGAGUCAAUGGUUGGACGAUGAGGCAUCGCGUGAAAUGAGGCGACUGGUGAGUUAGGAAUGUGGCGGAGACACCCCCAUUGUGAUGGAACGAGUGGUUGACCGAUGAUUGAAGUCAGACAGUGGCGAGCAGAAGUUGUUGGCAGAUGUGCUACUCGAGUUAGCGGAUAUGGAGGUAAUACCGGAGAGAUUGGCAGGGACCCCCUUGGCUGUCUGGAAGAACACAGAGACGCUUAAAGUGUUCGUGAAGACUUGUCAGUGAGAGGCUUGAGUACCCGAGACGUGGACAACAUGGUGUGUAGGUACUUUAGGGAGAGACCUGCAAGUGUUGAAGGUGGAAGUUGACGUGUUCCAUACAAGAUUGUGGAGAUCAUGGUUUAUUGGUAGAGGAGAUCGUACCCAGCGGACUUUGACGUACAAGGGAAGCAGAGGCUGAUGUGCAAGAAGUGUUGAAGACAAGGAUGACGCGACCCACACCGUGAAGAACUGAAAGGAGUUGAUUGGCGAAGAUAUGAAGAUACAUUAGAGAAUUAUGUUGCAGAAAUAAUGUGUACAGUAGUAAAGAUGAAUGUGAAA